rnacentral:rRNA from 1 species
AUUGAACGCUGGCGGUAUGCUUAAGACAUGCAAGUCGAACGGUAACAGACCUUCGGGUGCUGACGAGUGGCGGACGGGUGAGUAACACGUGGGAAUCUACCUUGUAGUGGGGGAUAAGCCAGGGAAACUUGGACUAAUACCGCAUACGCCCUAAGGGGGAAAGGAGCAAUUCGCUAUAAGAUGAGCCCGCGUCUGAUUAGCUAGUUGGUGAGGUAAAGGCUCACCAAGGCGACGAUCAGUAGCUGGUCUGAGAGGAUGACCAGCCACAUUGGGACUGAGACACGGCCCAGACUCCUACGGGAGGCAGCAGUCGGGAAUAUUGGACAAUGGGGGCAACCCUGAUCCAGCAAUACCGCGUGUGUGAAGAAGGCCUGCGGGUUGUAAAGCACUUUUAGUAGGGAAGAUAAUGACGUUACCUACAGAAAAGACACCGGCUAACUCCGUG